rnacentral:rRNA from 1 species
GUACUGUGCAAACGUUAUUCGGAAUCACUGGGCUUAAAGGGUGCGUAGGCGGUUAGAUAAGUAGGAUGUGAAAUCCCCGGCCCAACCGGGGAACUGCGUUCUAAACUGUCUGACUUGAGUAAGAUAGGGGUGUGCGGAACUUCCAGUGGAGCGGUGAAAUGUGUUGAUAUUGGAAGGAACGCCGGUGGCGAAAGCGGCACACUGGGUCUUAACUGACGCUGAGGCACGAAAGCUAGGGUAGCGAACGGGAUUAGAUACCCGGGUAGUCCUAGCUGUAAACGAUGAGCACUAGACGGGAGGGGCUUCGGCCUUUCCCGGUUGCAGCGAAAGCAUUAAGUGCUCCGCCUGGGGAGCAUGGUCGCAAGGCUG